CGGCAAGCGCUUAUGACAGUUGGCAGUGUUCAUAGCGUACUGGAAAGCAAUUUGCGAACACACGUACCAACUGUGUGGGAAUUUUGCAUUGGAAGUGUGGAAACUAUGUUGUGGCGUACAAUUGGCUUCUUGGAAGUAAGCAUCUCAACAACGACAAGGGAUUGUACCGGAUUGUAUAUCCACCCUAGCACUGUAAGCUUUGGCGCAAAAACGUUUAAAAAGUUGCUUUAUCAAACUACCACAACAGAAAAUUAUUUUUGCAGUAAAUUUUAUGAUAACACCUAGUGAGCGUUUCAAAGAAGAUACUAUCUGAUACCAUUUGAUUUUGAUUUUGCAGAUUGAAAUUUGAUUCAAACUAAUUAAAGGCAGGAAAAAAUUGUUUCCUACAUUGGUACGACCUUUUUUAUGUUCUUGUGAAGUUUGAUCUCCAUGUGUCGAAAAGUGUAUAAAAUGCAUUUUUUUUUGGUAAAUUUAUCCGACUUUGCAUAAGUUUUGUGCAAUUGGUGUGCAAGCAAUUUCUAAAAAAAAUUCUUUUGUAUGUUUAUUAAUUUCAUUUGUUUAGCAAAAAACAAAAUCAAAUGUAUGUAUUAGAAUAUGUGUACUAAAGGGUAUGUUAAAGUUACCAUUACUUCACGUCAGUGAAGAAAACUUUGUAAGUCAUGUCGGACCAGUUGACUGACAGCUAAAAACUUUACGAGUCAACAAAGUUAAAUAUUUGAACACAAACAACUAACCAUAUGGUGCUAAAAUGAAAUAAACAUUAAUUUACUAGGAAAGUCAUCAUUUAUUAAAUAACCAGACGGAAGAAUCAAAUCGAAAGAGUUGGUUUAACUUCGUAGUAGCGGCAGCUGCAACUAAAGUAAACUUGAGUAAUGAAAUUCCAACAUACAAAUACAUAUGUGAGAAGUACGAAAUCAACAUGCUGUUGUUUAAAGCAAAUAAAAGUGAAGUGACUAACACAAGGUAGAAA